AUUGUCUUCGGACAGAUGACGACCGGCGCACGGGUGCGUAACACGUAUACAACCUACCCCUGAGAGAGGGAUAGCCCAGAGAAAUUUGGAUUAAUAUCUCAUAGUAUUAACGGAUUGCAUAUUCUGUUAAUUAAAGCUCCGGCGUUCAGGGAUGGGUAUGCGUCUGAUUAGCUAGUUGGUGAGGUAACGGCUCACCAAGGCAACGAUCAGUAGCUGGUCUGAGAGGAUGAUCAGCCACACGGGAACUGAGACACGGUCCCGACUCCUACGGGAGGCAGCAGUGAGGAAUAUUGGACAAUGGGCGCAAGCCUGAUCCAGCCAUGCCGCGUGAAGGAUGACGGUCCUAGUUGAUUGUAAACUUCUUUUGAAUGGGACUAAUAAGGUGCUAUACGCACCGAUGCAGGUACCAUUAGAAUAAGCGCCGGCUAACUACGUGCCAGCAGCCGCGGUAAUACGUAGGGCGCAAGCGUUGUCCGGAUUUAUUGGGUUUAAAGGGUGUGUAGGCGGUUAAUUAAGUCAGUGGUAAAAGGCUAUAGCUCAACUAUAGUAUGCCAUUGAUACUGGUUAACUUGAGUUCGACAGAGGAAACUGG
rnacentral:rRNA from 1 species